UACGUAGGGUGCAAGCGUUAUCCGGAAUUAUUGGGCGUAAAGAGCCUCGUAGCGGUUUGUCGCGUCUGCUGUGAAAACUGGAGGCUCAACCUCCAGCCUGCAGUGGGUACGGGCAGACUAGAGUGCGGUAGGGGAGAUUGGAAUUCCUGGGUGUAGCGGUGGAAUGCGCAGAUAUCAGGAGGACACCGAUGGCGAAGGCAGAUCUCUGGGCCGUAACUGACGCUGAGGAGCGAAAGCAUGGGG
rnacentral:rRNA from 1 species